rnacentral:rRNA from 1 species
GCACUUUAAGCAGUGAAGAAGACUCCUCGGUUAAUACCCGUGGACGAUGACAUUAGCUGCAGAAUAAGCACCGGCUAACUCUGUGCCAGCAGCCGCGGUAAUACAGAGGGUGCAAGCGUUAAUCGGAAUUACUGGGCGUAAAGGGAGCGUAGGUGGCUCUAUAAGUCAGAUGUGAAAUCCCCGGGCUUAACCUGGGAACUGCAUCUGAAACUGUAGAGCUAGAGUAUGUGAGAGGGAGGUAGAAUUUCAGGUGUAGCGGUGAAAUGCGUAGAGAUCUGAAGGAAUACCGAUGGCGAAGGCAGCCUCCUGGCAUAAUACUGACACUGAGGCUCGAAAGCGUGGGUAGCAAACAGGAUUAGAUACCCUGGUAGUCCACGCCGUAAACGAUGUCUACUAGUCGUUGG